rnacentral:rRNA from 1 species
UACGUAGGGUGCAAGCGUUGCCCGGAUUUAUUGGGCGUAAAGGGCGCGUAGGCGGGAUGGCAAGUCGGUCGUGAAAUCCUUCGGCUCAACCGAAGAACGUCGAUCGAUACUGCUGUUCUUGAGGGUUGCAGAGGAGACUGGAAUUCCCGGUGUAGCGGUGAAAUGUGUAGAGAUCGGGAGGAACACCGGUGGCGAAGGCGGGUCUCUGGGCAAUUCCUGACGCUGAGGCGCGAAAGCGUGGGGAGCAAACGGG